UGCUGAGCGCUGCGCAGGCGCGUUAGAGCAUUGGCGGUGCUGCCAUCGUCCGGUCCCGGUGAGCGAGGAGCCAGCCCUGCAAACUGGAGCUGCCGGAGCGAAGGUGAGAUUACCUGAAUUCAGCACAUCUGUUUCCUUACAUCUGCUGAAGGCUCGCUUGACGUUCUUCCCUUCAGCCCAGCUGGUCCAUGAACUUGACAACACAGACUUUAUUUUAUCACCUGCUCUGCAUCAAAACAGGAGUCAUUUGCACAGUUCUGCCCACAUCUUGCGUAUGAUCUAGUUGGGGAGGUACACUAUGAACAGGAAGAAUACCAGUCAGUGCCUCAAUGUUAAUAUUGAAAGCGAGUGAAAAGAGAAAGUAAAAGUGGUGUCGUAGCCUACUCAUUUAGCAUGUUGAUAGGAUGUCCCUGUGCAUUUUAACUAAAUCCAGCUCAUCUGAAGCCUUCCCUGGCUAACACAAGCCACAGAGAAGGAAUAAUUAAGGCCCGAAACACAGAAGCCUGGCCUUGAAGAGCAGAUGGCAGCGGGCACCAGGCAGGUGGACUAGAAGAAGCUCCUGGAUGUCUGAGGAGGUAGGAGGCCACACCAAGGCCUAAUAUUUUCUCUUCUACAAUUUUACUUUCAUUCAAUCCCACAUAAAGGAAGAAUCAUCUUAUAUCUGAGACAUUUUGGACCCCAGACUAUGCCUCGGAACAGUGGUCAUUGCAAAAGUUCCCUGGUGGCCAAGUUUGAGUGGCUGUGACUUUCACUAAUGGGACCUGUAUCCAGAAUUAUGGCAAGGCCCCUGGAGUGUGCAUGUUCUUGUACAUUCCUUCUUGACCUUUUUAAGACCUCCUCAAACUUCUCUUCUCCAGCCAAAACUACCUCAGUGCUGGCUCUCACACUUCCCAAACCCUUCACCAUCUCCAUGGCCACCCAAAUCCAUGCUUCUUUCACAUGGCAAGUGAUUUUUAGCUAAUAGUAGACUUCCUGGUGCUCUAGGUCCCAGAUUUUCUAUCUACAGCAAGGGAAUCAGUACCAGUUGGAGAGAAACAAAUCAAUUAUAAUAAUUGACAAACAAACACACUCUCCUUUUUCUCAGAAGCCAAGGCUAGUGAGGUGAGUUACACAGACAAGGGAUUUCAGGGCUGCUGGUUUCUACGGAAUCAUUUUUAGAGUGAAUGUCCAUAAACAUUAGGAGGAAAAGGGCCUGGGGAAGCCCAGGGGUAGAGAGACAAGCCAAGUGGUAGCUUCUGGCUGCAGAUUCUGCACAGUCCAUUGCACAUAGUUGGUUCUUUCCCAGGAAACAUUUGCACUAGCCUUUGGCUUCUAGAAGCAGAGAUAGGGCCACAAAAUAAAGUACUAUUAAUUAUAUUGGGUAGUAUGGCAAUCAGGACUUUUUAAUUGCAAAUGAUUGAUCAUGCAGCCCAGAAAAUUCCUCAAGAUUCACUCCAUUUGGGAAGCUCGCGUCACAUGCUCACCCCUAAUACAGUGACUAUGUGAGGAGGACUCGGAGUGCUCAUUGGCUUAGGCUUGGGUUGUAUGUUCCACCGUUAGGGCCUAGGAUGACUGAGGUGGGACAGGUUGGAGAUUCAGCUGAAAGUCAGAAGUAUUAGCAGAAAAGAGGGGUCUGUAAGUCAUGGUUCAGUGGUAGAACACACAAAUGGCUGUUUUAAGCUGAUAGCAAUUUAUUACAGGAUAUUCAAUGCUGAGAAGAUGCUUGGAAGACCUAGGUUUGGGCUUCAAAGAUGACUUUCAGAAGGGUAAUAAAGAAUUGGUCCACGUGGGGGAACGACCUAUCUAUUACACUCAGGACACUGGAGAAUUGAGAGGCUGCCCUACCAAGGUCUGGCUCCUGUCUAUAACUCCUUAGUGUGAUCCAGGGAUCAGGAAGCCACCAUUGGAGCCAUUGGCUCCAGAGCCAUGCCACACCUGCUGAAUCCACACCCAGAAAAGUGAUGUCCUCCAUCCUGCCUCACAAUAUCCUCAGAGCUUCUCAGUUCCUUUCCUGGAAGUCUGGUAACUCUACCUUAGAAAAUUAAAUAUUUUUGUGGCAGCACUAGCUAGCAGAAACAGCAGAAGUGUGGUCGUCUUGCCUCACUGCCUUCUUCCAGAUCUUGUGCAUUUACUUGGCCAAAGCUAAAUGACAUCUGGAAACUUGGGAAGUCUGAGAAGCAGCAUAUUUAUCUUUAUAGCCUCUGUAGCCAGUAGAAGAUGGGUGAAAUGGAAGUUGAGUGGUCAUCUUCAUAACUACCAGGGAGGGCAAUCCAGGAAUGUCUACUCUAGCUAAGAUUUAAAGUGUACACAAGACCUCUCAUAGGCAGUCUCUCUGCUAAACACUUUCUCCAUAUGGGCCCAUUUUGCUGGAGCAAAGCUGCAGAGACCCAUGGAGGGAUAGACACACUGCAUUAGAGAGAGUCACUCAUGAACCUUGGAUGCUCAGCAAGGGAUUUGAUGUGUGCACCUAGCUGGAGAAUAAACCCAAAAAUAUAAACAUGAGGGACAUCAGCUGCAAGUAACGCUGGCCAGAGGGACAGUAGAAAAUCAUGGAGUAGAGAGUAGGCUAAGAAGGGAGAAGCACUCUGGACUGCCUUGACUAUAUACCCGUGGCUGUU